UUUGCCCUGGAAAGAAACAUGUCUUGAUGGGACCCUAGGAUGAUACCAAAAUGAAUAUGAUGGAACAUCAGGAUGCCAAGGCAGAAUUUCUUAAUAGAAGGCUGGCUCCUUACGUGUUCAGUAGAUCCCUCUUAGAAAUGGUGAAAUAACCCUGCACAGUAUAGUGUGCCAUAACUUGGCAAUACAAUAAUAUACAUUUAAAUUUAAGAAACUCAGGGAUUUGGUAGGAAUAUAAAAUUGAAAAACACAGCAAAUAUCAGGAAUCUAUCAGUCACAGUUCAUUUUUCUUUUACAGCAAUAUAAAUCAAGGAAAAGCUAAAAUACAUUUUUAUAAGCCAGCAGGCUGAAGACUGUAUAUGACGUAUGCCCGCAUUCAAUCUUAGGAUAAAUAUCUGUCAAGGACUGUGAGUCAGAAAUUCAUAACACUUAAAUGGGAAGCUAGGAUACUUUGGUUUUACAAAGAUAGGCUUUGGGGGCAAGUUUC
rnacentral:lncRNA from 1 species